rnacentral:rRNA from 1 species
GACGAACGCUGGCGGCGUGCUUAACACAUGCAAGUCGAACGAUGAACCUCGAAAUGAUUUCUUCGGAAAGAUUUUUGAGAGGAUUAGUGGCGAACGGGUGAGUAACGCGUGAGCAACCUGCCUUAGACAAGGGGAUAGCCUCGGGAAACCGUGAUUAAUACCCUAUGAGACUCCACUUACGAGUGUAAGAGAAGUUAAAGCUAUUGCGGUCUAAGAUGGGCUCGCGUCUGAUUAGCUAGUUGGUGAGAUAAAAGCCCACCAAGGCGACGAUCAGUAACCGGCUUGAGAGAGUGAACGGUCACAUUGGAACUGAGACACGGUCCAAACUCCUACGGGAGGCAGCAGUGGGGAAUAUUGCACAAUGGGGGCAACCCUGAUGCAGCGACGCCGCGUGAGCGAUGAAGGAAUUCGUUUCGUAAAGCCCUGUCCUUGGAGAAGAUAAUGACGGUAACCAAGGAGGAAGCACCGGCUAAAUACGU